rnacentral:rRNA from 1 species
GAAACUUGCCCCGAGAUGAGUUUUCCCUGACCCUUUAAGGGUCCUGAAGGAACGUUGAAGACGACGACGUUGAUAGGCCGGGUGUGUAAGCGCAGCGAUGCGUUGAGCUAACCGGUACUAAUGAACCGUGAGGCUUAAUCUU